rfam:Sarcophilus harrisii ctg7180002435206, whole genome shotgun sequence.
UACAAGGUGCUAUUAGGCACUACAGAUAUAAAUAUGAAAGAAAAAU